AAAUUGAAGAGUUUGAUCAUGGCUCAGAUUGAACGCUGGCGGCAGGCCUAACACAUGCAAGUCGAACGGUAACAGGAAGCAGCUUGCUGCUUUGCUGACGAGUGGCGGACGGGUGAGUAAUGUCUGGGGAACUGCCCGAUGGAGGGGGUUAACUACUGGAAACGGUAGCUAAUACCGCAUAACGUCGCAAGUCCAAAGA
rnacentral:rRNA from 1 species